rnacentral:rRNA from 1 species
UACGGAAGGCAGCAGGGGGGAAUAUUGCACAAUGGGCGCAAGCCUGAUGCAGCCAUGCCGCGUGUAUGAAAAAGGCCUUCGGGUUGUAAAGUACUUUCAGUCGUGAGGAAGGUGUUAAGGUUAAUAACCUUAGCAAUUGACGUUAGCGACAGAAGAAGCACCGGCUAACUCCGUGCCAGCAGCCGCGGUAAUACGGAGGGUGCGAGCGUUAAUCGGAAUUACUGGGCGUAAAGGGCACGCAGGCGGUUAAUUAAGUUGGAUGUGAAAUCCCCGGGCUUAACCUGGGAAUGGCAUUCAAGACUGGUUAGCUAGAGUCUUGUAGAGGGGGGUAGAAUUCCAUGUGUAGCGGUGAAAUGCGUAGAGAUGUGGAGGAAUACCGGUGGCGAAGGCGGCCCCUGGACAAAGACUGACGCUCAUGUGCGAAAGCGUGGGGAGCAAACAGGGAUUAGAUACC